ensembl:lncRNA
GUUUAUCACAUCUCUCCUGAACAUCAGAAAUGCCUGUUUUCAUUUUUGCCCUUUCUGUGGCUGCCCUUUUCCCCACUGUCUUUGGCCAGCUGGCCCCAGAAAUCAAUCAGUGGCCCAUCAGAGACCAGGCUAGCAGCUGUCACUCCCACCAUGGAAUUUAGGUUCAAACCACAGUGCAGGCCGCCACCCUCACAGAGCCUGGUUGCCUUCCAGUGUCUCUUUGAACAAGGCCCAGCGAGUCCUUCCAUGUCUACUGCUUCAUUCCCGAAGAGAAUAAACACCUCUCCAACCUCAGCCUGCCGAGCGGAGUCACCAAAGUUCUUCCAGCAGCCUUGGCCUUUUGUAUCUGAGGCAUUUUCCAA